UACGUAGGGUGCAAGCGUUGUCCGGAUUUACUGGGUUUAAAGGGUGCGUAGGCGGGUUACUAAGUCUGGGAUGAAAUGGCUGCGCUCAACGCGGUCGCUGUCCUGGAUACUGGUGAUCUUGAGUAGGGAUGAGGUAGCUGGAAUGAGUGGUGUAGCGGUGAAAUGCGUAGAGAUCACUCAGAACACCGAAUGUGAAGACAGGCUACUGGACCCUAACUGACGCUGAGGCACGAAAGCGUGGGGAUCAAACAGG
rnacentral:rRNA from 1 species